rnacentral:rRNA from 1 species
AUUCGAUGCAACGCGAAGAACCUUACCUGGUCUUGACAUCCACAGAACUUUCCAGAGAUGGAUUGGUGCCUUCGGGAACUGUGAGACAGGUGCUGCAUGGCUGUCGUCAGCUCGUGUUGUGAAAUGUUGGGUUAAGUCCCGCAACGAGCGCAACCCUUAUCCUUUGUUGCCAGCGGUCCGGCCGGGAACUCAAAGGAGACUGCCAGUGAUAAACUGGAGGAAGGUGGGGAUGACGUCAAGUCAUCAUGGCCCUUACGACCAGGGCUACACACGUGCUACAAUGGCAUAUACAAAGAGAAGCGACCUCGCGAGAGCAAGCGGACCUCAUAAAGUAUGUCGUAG